CAAGCAAUAAAAUUAUCAGUUCUAUCUUAAAUGUCACCCAUUCCAUAGUAACGCUGAUCCGCAGCAAUUAGUUAUCUAGUAUGUUGUAUAAAAUGUGUGCGCUGUACGUACGCAACUGUGGCAGAUCCUUUUCCCUCAUCCGCGUCCUUGUUUUUGUUAUUGUGCGUUGCAAUGUGAAAACAAUUGUGAAUGCAUGUAGCUACAAGCUAUUGGUCGGAUGUCAUUGUCUUUCCAGUUGUGUCCUUGUCCCAUUGUUCCACAAGAUUGGUCUCCGUCGCAGAGGCCAAAUCGGCCUGCCGGCUUGCCUGCCUUGUGGCCCACUUCUAAGGCCGGCUCGACAUUCCCGAGAUAGAUUUACACCCGAGGUCCACCUCCAACGACUGAACAACUGAUCUAUGAUUGUUCCACACGAAUACCAACGAUCCCACUAUCAACAACAAGAGCAAUAACAUCAACAACACUAGAAGGAGAGUAGGCGACCUCGCAUUCUGGAAGACCGCUGAAUCCACGUUUAUGCCAGUCGACAACUGAGAAAAGAACGAUCACGCUCAUUCACCAGGGUCAUUGGGAUAUUCGGUUGGAUCAAAAAUGAAGAUGAUAUAUGGAACACACCCCAGCCUCCACGUCCAAGCCUUCAGACGUCCUUGUUCCGCGGUACUCAAAAGCUUAGUGGUGCCUUCAAAAGAUUAGCACGAUGUCGGAAAGAGAUGGCUUUUGGUCGAAGCGAACAAAGGCCGUACAAGAGUGAUGGAGGAAGAUCCAAGAACAAGUGGCCACUCUUUUCCUGAUGGGACAGAUAUGCUCACUGAGGGAGUAGUUCCAAAGUUGAACAAUUAUUGCAAGCCAGGACCACAGAAAGUGAGCCCAAAUCGCAUUUUCGUGUGAUUUGUCUGCAUUUUCACUUUCUUUGCACAAAUAUCAAUGGUGGAUGUUGGUUUCUAGGUCUGUAUUUCAGCAGUUUUGCUAUCAAGGUUACUUGCUAUUGAUCGUUAAUAAAGGAAGUUUUUACGUUUA